GCCUUCUUGGUGUAGUGGUCAGCACGCUCGACGCGUAACCGAGAGGUCCGUGGUUCGAUUCCUGGCGAGGGCA
rnacentral:tRNA from 1 species